rnacentral:rRNA from 1 species
CCUACGGGAGGCAGCAGUGGGGAAUAUUGGGCAAUGGGCGCAAGCCUGACCCAGCAACGCCGCGUGAAGGAAGAAGGCUUUCGGGUUGUAAACUUCUUUUCUCAGGGACGAAGCAAGUGACGGUACCUGAGGAAUAAGCUACGGCUAACUACGGGCCAGCAGCCGCGGUAAUACGUAGGUGGCAGGCGUUAUCCGGAUUUACUGGGUGUAAAGGGUGUGUAGGCGGGAGUGCAAGUCAGAUGUGAAAGCCAUGGGCUGAACCUGUGGCCUGCAUUUGAGACUGUAGUUCUUGAGUGCUGGGGAGGCAGGCGGAAUGCCUGGUGUAGCGGUGAAAUGCGUAGAUAUUAGAAAGAACACCGAUGGCGAAGGCAGUCUACUGAACAGCAACUGACGCUGAGGCGCGAAAGCGUGGGGAGCAAACAGGAUUAGAUACCCGUGUAGUC